CAGCAGCAGCCACGGGAAUACAGAGGGUGCGAGCGUUAAUCGGAUUUACUGGGCGUAAAGCGUGCGUAGGCGGCUUUUUAAGUCGGAUGUGAAAUCCCUGAGCUUAACUUAGGAAUUGCAUUCGAUACUGGGAAGCUAGAGUAUGGGAGAGGAUGGUAGAAUUCCAGGUGUAGCGGUGAAAUGCGUAGAGAUCUGGAGGAAUACCGAUGGCGAAGGCAGCCAUCUGGCCUAAUACUGACGCUGAGGUACGAAAGCAUGGGGAGCAAACAGGAUUAGAUACCCCAGUAGUCCCUGUCUCUUAUAA
rnacentral:rRNA from 1 species